AUGGCCUCCCCCUCGCCGUCCCCGCCCCGCCGCACACCCACCACCGGCGGGAGGCAGUCCCCCUUCUUCCGCGACCUCGCCCGUGCCAUCCCUUCCCACCGGACCUCCGGGUCCCUCGACCCCUCAUCCACGCCGCCGCCGCCCCUUUUCACCCUCGACGACCGCCUAUACGCACAGGAUUUCUCCCCUGAUCGAUCCGCCUCCAACCUCCUCCCCGUCGCUCCAUCCCCAUCCCCACCCACGCGCGCUUCCUCCGCCAGCCGCCCGCCCUCAUGGGACCGGUCCCGCGGCAUCCCCCCCGGUCCGUGCUCGCUGGGUGACUGGCUCGUGGAGCCGGCCCGUAAAGAGGUCCUCGCGCUGCCCCCGCCAUCGCCGCCUCCUACUCGUGCGGCGAACGAGGAGGUGCGAUCGCCGGUGAUCCCGUUGCCUGCGCCGCCCAGGACGGCUCCAUCAGCGAGCGUCACGGGGGCCGACGGGGAGGAGUGGGUCACCGUGUUCGGAUUCACCGCGAGGGAGACCAACCUUGUUCUGCGAGAGUUUGGGAAGUGCGGAGUGAUACUGAGACACUGCUCUGGCCCAAGAGAUGGUAAUUGGCUUCACAUAUUGUAUCAGCACCAAUACGAUGCUCGAAGGGCCCUUGAAAAGAAUGGAAUCCAGCUGUUUAGUGGCGUUGCAAUUGGGGUUAAAAUUACUGAUCCAGCGCAGCUGCAAAUGGAUGAGAAGAUGAGUGAGAGCAAUUAUAAAGGUUUCAUGGUUUCCUUGCCUUCGAAAUCAUCUAUCCAGAAUGCAGGGGCAUCAAGCAAUUUAGGAGAUCUCCCACGUCCCUAUGACCCAAAAGCUGGCAGAAAUAUUAACAGAGACAUGGGUUGUUCAACAGGAAGUGUUGCCAUGCCAGCAAAAUCAGUAUUGGUGAAAACUAUGGACUUGAUUUUUGGCAUUUGA
rnacentral:rRNA from 1 species